GGCUGAUCUGAGAUGUGGACCAGACAGUGUGGUCUUUGUUGCUGAUUCGUCCCUCUGGACUAGAACAGCAGAAUUCAAAGGAAAGAAGGGAGAAAAGAAGCCUGGAUUGGUGCCAGGUGGAAGGAACUGAAGAAGUCUGUCAGUGAGCCCUCAGGGGUUCACAGGCAGGCGGAAGAGGGGAAUACGAAGAAAGAAGGGCCAGGAAAGCCCAGGAGGUCUUCGAAGAGAGGCGACGGCUGAUGGAGAUGCAUGGCUAAGAGUGUGACUGAGUGCUGGCUCCAUUGCUCUCCAGACCUUGAGCAAGUUACUUAACCUCUUUGAGCCUCAGUUUCCUCAUGUAAAAUGGGAUAAAGAAAACUUUCCCAACCCAAAGAUAGCAUUAGCUGUUAAAAGAAAGAUUGCAGCUAGCAUUUUCCCUGACACGUGAACACCCAGCAACAGUUGCUGGCCUUAUUCCCUGGCCUUGUUUUUGUGAUAGUAUAGCACCAGGAACACACUCAGGAGAAGAGACAGCCCUACCUUGGAAAGACUAGCUCUGUCUGUGGGCCAGCAACAUUGAAGGAUUCACUGAAGCAAGAUUGUCCUAGAAGAUGAAUACAUCUGAACAAUAA
rnacentral:lncRNA from 1 species